ACAAUUAUAAUUUAAAUAAAACAUCUGACUUCCAAUCAUAAAAUGUAGAUAACAACCCUACUAAUUGUA
rnacentral:tRNA from 1 species